GCUCUUUUCUGAGGAAUAUUAUGCACUGAACCGCAGAGAAACACUCCCAGGGCUCCACGAUCCCCGCCUCCCCCCGCCAGGGACCCAGGGCUCUGAAGAGGGGAUCCCCGGUGUUUACAGAAUGGUGCUGGUGGCGCUGGAGGGAGAAAACACAGGCUGGGAUCACAGGUGCAGAGGUGCAGGGUCAAAGGGCGACUGAACCAAAUGAACGAAUGAGAUUCACAGGAAAGCAAGGAAACACAUGCUCUGAUACUUCCAAAAUAAGUCCUACAAAGGAGCCCGAUGGCAAAAGCUGCGCUGGGCAGCAGUUCAGAGGGACAACUCUGGGGAGCAGGUCGUAAGGAAAGACAGACCUAACAUACAGGUCGAUAAGAACCAAUCCCGAGACACUUGCUAGAAAAUCAGUUGCAAAGAUCUGAUUAUCGGUGCACUUGGAAAGCAAAUGAUGCCUACACCCAACGUUUGGGAAGAAUCGAAGUUUCGCUAUGGAGAGAUCGCACCGAGGUGGAAUUCUCUUCAAGUAGUUUGAGAAGUUAGACAAGGGUUGCCAUGCACAGAACCUAGCAACCUCACUGCCCAAGGAACAGCGGAAGUCUUUUAGCUGUGGGGAUUGGAAAUAACAUCUCACAGAGCUGAUGCUGGUCUUUUCUCAGAAGCUCUUCUGUCCUCAGUAUCCGCGGUCCAGUUCUUGGGUCUCAGGCUGCUCAGAGACUGGCUGACACAGCACGGGGCAGUGUGUGCGCUCAUGGGGCACAGUGGGUUCCCAGCUACUAGAGGAGCAUGAAAGGACGGAUGGCCACGCACUGGCCUAUGGCAGGGGGGAUUCCUGCCCUGGAAAUGACCCUUCUCAUCAGAGGCUUUCUCCAAAGGGGUCCAAUGGGGAACUGAAAAAUGCUAGGAGAUCCUAGUCCAGCCACCUCCAGCUCAAGGAUUGUCCAGAGAUGGUUACAACUGUAGUUUCCUAGCGUCUAUCUCACCUGUUUAUGAAGAUGUUCUUGAAACAAGUUGUUAAAUACUAAAAAUAUUAGAGCCGUAAGGCCUUGUUGGGGUCAAGAGACCAGAAGGGAAAGGAGCGGCGAGGUUCUGGCUCCUACUGAUUGCAGGAGGCGCUGCAGGGAGGGUCGAAAUAACCAUGGUGUCAGCACACCUGUCUUGUCGCUGCUGUAACACACGUGGGUGAGCACACACGAAUUUAGCGUCUUAACA
rnacentral:lncRNA from 1 species